AGAGUUUGAUCCUGGCUCAGGACGAACGCUGGCGGCGUGCUUAACACAUGCAAGUCGAGCGGUAAGGCCCUUUCGGGGGUACACGAGCGGCGAACGGGUGAGUAACACGUGGGUGACCUGCCCUCAGCUCUGGGAUAAGCCCGGGAAACUGGGUCUAAUACCGGAUAUGACCUUCCAUCGCAUGGUGGUUGGUGGAAAGUUUUUUCGGCUGGGGAUGGGCCCGCGGCCUAUCAGCUUGUUGGUGGGGUGAUGGCCUACCAAGGCGACGACGGGUAGCCGGCCUGAGAGGGCGACCGGCCACACUGGGACUGAGACACGGCCCAGACUCCUACGGGAGGCAGCAGUGGGGAAUAUUGCGCAAUGGGCGGAAGCCUGACGCAGCGACGCCGCGUGGGGGAUGACGGCCUUCGGGUUGUAAACCUCUUUCGACCUUGACGAAGCCUUCGGGUGACGGUAGGGGUAGAAGAAGCACCGGCCAACUACGUGCCAGCAGCCGCGGUAAUACGUAGGGUGCGAGCGUUGUCCGGAAUUAUUGGGCGUAAAGAGCUCGUAGGCGGUCUGUCACGUCGGUCGUGAAAACUUGGGGCUUAACCCUGAGCUUGCGGUCGAUACGGGCAUGACUUGAGUUCGGCAGGGGAGACUGGAAUUCCUGGUGUAGCGGUGAAAUGCGCAGAUAUCAGGAGGAACACCGGUGGCGAAGGCGGGUCUCUGGGCCGAUACUGACGCUGAGGAGCGAAAGCGCGGGGAGCGAACAGGAUUAGAUACCCUGGUAGUCCACGCCGUAAACGGUGGGCGCUAGGUGUGGGGGCCAUUCCACGGUCUCUGUGCCGCAGCUAACGCAUUAAGCGCCCGCCUGGGGAGUACGGCGCAAGCUAAAACUCAAAGGAAUUGACGG
rnacentral:rRNA from 1 species